GGACUCCGCUCACAGCCGGGUGUGGUCUGGGCUCCAGGGUCCUGUCCAGGGCGGCGUGGCCGCAGCAGCCUCGCCUGGGACCCGGACUCCAGGUGAAGAGGAUGCCCGGCCAGCAGGCGCCCUGGAGAGUGGAGGGCGACGGAGGAGGACCCUCCGCCAGGGCGAGGGAGGCCGCAUGGAGAGGAGCCGCCUCCAGUGUGGAAAUGUGAGAGCAAGUUGGUGACAUCUUUCAGCUGGAUACAUUGCCCAAAGAAGACCUCAAAUGUGUGCCAAGAAGCCAGUGAUUCUAUUGCAGAGAACUCCAUGGAAAUGUACAGGAAGAAAGUGCCUUCAAA